rnacentral:tRNA from 1 species
GAAGUUAUAGCUCAGUGGUAGAGUGUGUGCUUAGCAUUCAUGAAGUCCUUGGUUCAGUUCCCAGUACCUCCA